CCUUUAGAAAUCAAGCAUAUUGUUAAAAUUUUAAUGCCUUUUCAGUUGCACAUAUGCUGAACCGUAGUGCGCGAAAUAUUGAUGGGGUGCAUAUAUUAGAAAAAGGAGACCUUUAGAAAUUGAAAUAACGUUUAAACAAAAGAUUGUCUGCUCCUGGGAACAAUCUGUCAUGCAUACUGUACGUAGAUCGCAUGUUACGCACUCGUGGGCUUAGCAAAGUGCUCCAGGAUUCAAAUUAUAACAAUGGUUGAUUUCUAAAGGUCUCCUUUUUCUAAUAUUGAUGAAUAUUUCACGCACCACGGUUCAGCAUAUGUGCAAUUGA
rnacentral:lncRNA from 1 species